rnacentral:tRNA from 1 species
UACCCCGUGGUGUAACGGUAGCACAACUGGUUUUGGUCCAGUUAGUUUGGGUUCAAAUCCCGACGGGGUAGCCA